rnacentral:rRNA from 1 species
AUUGAACGCUGGCGGCAUGCUUUACACAUGCAAGUCGAACGGUAACAGGCCGCAAGGUGCUGACGAGUGGCGAACGGGUGAGUAAUGCAUCGGAACGUGCCCAGUCGUGGGGGAUAACGCAGCGAAAGCUGUGCUAAUACCGCAUACGAUCUAUGGAUGAAAGCGGGGGACCGUAAGGCCUCGCGCGAUUGGAGCGGCCGAUGUCAGAUUGGGUAGUUGGUGGGGUAAAGGCGCACCAAGCCAACGAUCUGUAGCUGGUCGGAGAGGACGACCGGCCACAAGGGGAAGGGGACACGGCCCAGACUCCUAAGGGAGGCAGCAGUGGGGAAUUUUGGACAAUGGGCGCAAGCCUGAUCCAGCAAUGCCGCGUGCAGGAAGAAGGCCUUGGGGUUGUAAACUGCUUUUGUACGGAACGAAAAGGUUUGGGUUAAUACCCUGGGCCGAUGACGGUACCGUAAGAAUAAGCACCGGCUAACUACGUGCCAGCCGCCGCAGUAACAC